rnacentral:rRNA from 1 species
GACGAACGCUGGCGGCGUGCCUAAUACAUGCAAGUAGAACGCUGAAGAGAGGAGCUUGCUCUUCUUGGAUGAGUUGCGAACGGGUGAGUAACGCGUAGGUAACCUGCCUUGUAGCGGGGGAUAACUAUUGGAAACGAUAGCUAAUACCGCAUAACAAUGGAUGACACAUGUCAUUUAUUUGAAAGGGGCAAUUGCUCCACUACAAGAUGGACCUGCGUUGUAUUAGCUAGUAGGUGAGGUAAUGGCUCACCUAGGCGACGAUACAUAGCCGACCUGAGAGGGUGAUCGGCCACACUGGGACUGAGACACGGCCCAGACUCCUACGGGAGGCAGCAGUAGGGAAUCUUCGGCAAUGGGGGCAACCCUGACCGAGCAACGCCGCGUGAGUGAAGAAGGUUUUCGGAUCGUAAAGCUCUGUUGUAAGUCAAGAACGGGUGUGAGAGUGGAAAGUUCACACUGUGACGGUAGCUUACCAGAAAGGGACGGCUAACUACGUGCCAGCAGCCGCCGUAAAAC